UUGUAGGUUAUCUUCACUUUUGGAGCUGAAGUUUUUUUUUUUGUCACAGCUGAAUUAAAACACAUUGAAGUCAUUUUUCCUUCUUCAAUUGAUCGUAAAUUAGAUAGCUGUGAGCUGCAUUAACCAAACAGGAAGCAUGGCACAAUGUGUAUCAGACAACAUGGUUGAUUGUGGUAACCUCACAGUUAUCACAUCAUCUAAGGGGAGCAUUAUCCUGUGGAAAGAAGUCACAGCCAUCAGGGAAUACAGCUUUCAUUAAAGGGUGUACAUGAUCUGCAGCAGUGCUUCGGUGUUCCCCUAGGUAAGAGAUGCACAUGGACCUGGUCAUCCACUUGAUGUUUCCCAGUGCUCUGUGGUCCAGUUUUGAUGCUCACUGUCAUGGUCCGGCUUGAAGCUUAAGCUUCUCUCUUGGACUCAGGAUACCUUACCCCCAUCUUGGAUAUCACUCUGUGCCCUCCUCCCACCUCACACCAUCAGGAACCUCCAAAUGUCAGUGACUUUGAGCACCACCCGAACCACAACCUGCACCCCAGAUUCCCCUUUAGCUCCCGGUUCAUGUUCACCACUCCUAGAGUCUGAUAUCCACCAUAGCUCACAGCUCGUGUUUGGUAUUCUAAGCAUUAAAUCAUUGUAUGUAAA